UUCCUCAAGGAAGCUAAGCAGAAAAUUUUCACACUCUUGCAAACCACAGAAAUUGUUAAGAAAUACCAUUAUAUUACAAGAUUUGUUAAUAAAUAUGGCAAUUCAUAUCUAUGAAAGCGUGGAUUUGUAUGCGCGUUUUUGUGUGAAUGCGCGCUUGCGCUGUUGACUCUUUGGCGGAUUCCGGAACUUUGUGCGUGCGGCGUAUGUGUGCGGGUUGCGUGAUGAGUUUGCUGCGUUUUCUGUGCCCUUUGCCUCGCUGUGACAUCUUUGGUAUAUUACAACUUAUUGCUCGGUCUUUAUGGGCUACACGUUGCCUCGAAGAUCACCAUGAUCGCCUCCGACUCAGCCACAUCGAAGAAUCAAAAUGAGCCUGGAGACGCCACAGCCGGAAUGCAAAAGGUUGGAGAAGUGCUCAUUCAGAUGAUCCUGGCACAGCUUGCCAUGGUGGACCAGGCAAGUUUGCAAGGGCCUUGAUUCACCAUGUGUUCACAGAGAACCUCAUGGGCCACUCACUUCUCGGAAACAACACCACCAAUAGGCAAAAAGAGGCUCUUGGCCUUAUCAGGGUCAACGCUGUUAUAGGCAAGUACCGUACAUCCUUUUACCCAUUGCAUUUUUGCCUUCACAUUUUGUGCUUGGAAUUACCAGCUUGCUAUUAGCACAACAAAUGACUUUCAAGUAGCCUGUGUCUGCAACU